UACGAAGGGGGCUAGCGUUGUUCGGAAUUACUGGGCGUAAAGCGUGCGCAGGCGGUUUUGUAAGUCUGACGUGAAAUCCCCGGGCUCAACCUGGGAAUUGCGAUGGAGACUGCAAGGCUUGAAUCUGGCAGAGGGGGGUAGAAUUCCACGUGUAGCAGUGAAAUGCGUAGAGAUGUGGAGGAACACCGAUGGCGAAGGCAGCCCCCUGGGUCAAGAUUGACGCUCAUGCACGAAAGCGUGGGGAGCAAACAGG
rnacentral:rRNA from 1 species